UACAGAGGGUGCAAGCGUUGUUCGGAAUCAUUGGGCGUAAAGCGCGUGUAGGCGGUCUUCUAAGUCUGGUGUGAAAGCCCGGGGCUCAACCCCGGAAGUGCACUGGAUACUGGAAGUCUAGAGGGUGAGAGAGGAGAUUGGAAUUCAUGGUGUAGGGGUGAAAUCCGUAGAUAUCAUGAGGAACAUCUGUGGCGAAGGCGAAUCUCUGGCUCACUUCUGACGCUGAGACGCGAAAGCGUGGGGAGCAAACAGG
rnacentral:rRNA from 1 species